rnacentral:rRNA from 1 species
UACGUAGGGCGCAAGCGUUAUCCGGAAUUAUUGGGCGUAAAGAGCUCGUAGGCGGUUUGUCGCGUCUGCCGUAGAAAGUCCGGGGCUCAACUCCGGAUCUGCGGUGGGUACGGGCAGACUAGAGUGAUGUAGGGGAGACUGGAAUUCCUGGUGUAGGCAGGUGAAAUGCGCAGAUAUCAGGAGGAACACCGGUGGCGAAGGCGGGUCUCUGGACAGUUCCUGACGCUGAGGCGACGAAGGCCAGGGGAGCAAACGGG